CAACCUCAACUCAUAUGGGACUACCCCCUGAAUUUAAGCAUAUUAAUUAGGGGAGGAAAAGAAACUAACAAGGAUUUUCUUAGUAGCGGCGAGCGAAAAGAAAACAGUUCAGCACUAAGUCACUUUGUCUAUAUGGCAAAUGUGAGAUGCAGUGUAUGGAGCGUCAAUAUUCUAGUAUGAGAAAUUAAUGAUUUAAGUCCUUCUUAAAUGAGGCCAUUUACCC
rfam:Drosophila sechellia strain Rob3c scaffold_10390 genomic scaffold, whole genome shotgun sequence.